UGAAUUUUGUCACUUGCAUCCCGGAUGGAAUGGCUAAUUUUACAAGCAACUACAUCCCAAAUGGAAUAGCUAAUUUUACAAACCACACGAUGUUCAAACCAGUUUCCAGGUUUUCCUUUUGGUUUAUCAGACGUUUUUCCAAUGCUGAGUUAAUUCUCAUGCUUGUGGGCGUAUCAGUCCUGUUCAUAUCACUCUCCCUGAAUGUAUUCCAAUACAGGAAUAGUAAGCAGAAGGAGUCUCCUCCAAAACCAGAGAAUGCUGACUGGCAGGGAAUAUGGAGAGGUUUAGGAAAAAGCUUAGAAGCAUGAGGACCUGCAAUAUCAUGGGAUUUCACUCUUGAGCACCUGUGGGAUCCUGAGAAACUAAGCCAGUAUUUGAGACAGGGGCAGUGCGGCUUACAUAAAUCUAAGGAGGUACAACUUAUUUGGGGUUUGGCUUGUGCUUACCGUGCCCUAUAUAAUACUGUUCUGGAGAGUUUACGAGCUGAGGUUCAAGCCAAAGGGGAAGUCAAAUCUGAUCAAUUACAGGAGACACCAGUAACAAUAUCAGUUGCCCCUGUGGAGGGCAAGAAAUGGAAACGAGUGUCCUUGCGUCCAGAACGGAAAAAAGAAGAGGAGGAGGUGGAGGAAGAUCCAGGUGAGGGGCCCUCCUCAGAACCACCAACAUCAAGAAAGGCAAAAGGAAAAACUAAGAGACAUGCAGAAGAGAGUGAUGAAGAGGAAGUCUCUAUUACUACUCGUUGGCCUCUGAAGAUGACUGAAAUCCAAGGCUCAAGAAAGGAAUUUACAUGGCGCCCAAAUGAAACUAUCGUUUCCUGGUUAGUUCGCUGUUGGGACGGCGGGGCCAGUAGCUUGUCUCUAGAUGGUAAUGAAGCUCGCAAACUAGGAGCCAUUGCCAGAGAUCCAGCUAUUGACAGAGGAAUUAGUCGAUGUCUGGAUGGGGCUGCCACCCUCUGGGAACGAGUGUUAAUAGCCGUGAAGGAAAGGUACCCUUCAAAGAUGGCUUGAAGCCUGUGAUGAAAAGG
rnacentral:lncRNA from 1 species